GAUGAACGCUAGCUACAGGCUUAACACAUGCAAGUCGAGGGGAAACGACAUCGAAAGCUUGCUUUUGAUGGGCGUCGACCGGCGCACGGGUGAGUAACGCGUACCCAACCUGCCCACCACUUGGGGAUAACCUUGCGAAAGUAAGACUAAUACCCAAUGAUAUCCCACGAAGGCAUCCGAAUGGGAUUAAAGAUUUAUCGGUGAUGGAUGGGGAUGCGUCUGAUUAGCUUGUUGGCGGGGUAACGGCCCACCAAGGCAACGAUCAGUAGGGGUUCUGAGAGGAAGGUCCCCCACAUUGGAACUGAGACACGGUCCAAACUCCUACGGGAGGCAGCAGUGAGGAAUAUUGGUCAAUGGGCGAGAGCCUGAACCAGCCAAGUAGCGUGCAGGACGACGGCCCUAUGGGUUGUAAACUGCUUUUAUAAGGGAAUAAAGUGAGUCUCGUGAGACUUUUUGCAUGUACCUUAUGAAUAAGGACCGGCUAAUUCCGUG
rnacentral:rRNA from 1 species